AACGAACGCUGGCGGCAUGCCUAACACAUGCAAGUCGAACGAAGGCUUCGGCCUUAGUGGCGCACGGGUGCGUAACGCGUGGGAAUCUGCCCUUGGGUUCGGAAUAACUCAGAGAAAUUUGAGCUAAUACCGGAUGAUGACGUAAGUCCAAAGAUUUAUCGCCCAAGGAUGAGCCCGCGUAAGAUUAGCUAGUUGGUGGGGUAAAGGCCUACCAAGGCGACGAUCUUUAGCUGGUCUGAGAGGAUGAUCAGCCACACUGGGACUGAGACACGGUCCAGACUCCUACGGGAGGCAGCAGUGAGGAAUAUUGCACAAUGGAGGAAACUCUGAUGCAGCAACGCCGCGUGGAGGAUGACGCAUUUCGGUGUGUAAACUCCUUUUAAGAGGGAAGAUUAUGACGGUACCUCUUGAAUAAGCACCGGCUAACUCCGUG
rnacentral:rRNA from 1 species